UUCUGCUUUGUCAUGCUAAGAUGGUUUGAAUGAUAUACAGGGUUAGUCCCCAGGGGUCAUCCCGACCCCCUGCCAUUUGAGAAAGUUCUAAUAUCUUGUAAAUGGUCGAGAUCCCCACCCCUAAACCAUAUAUAUUCUGGUUUGUCAUGAUAAAGCACAUCAAAUGUAAUACAGGGUUAGUCCCCAGGGGUCACCCCCACCCCCUGCCAUUUAAGAAAGUUCUAAUAUCUUGUAAGUGGUCAAGAUCCCCACCCCUAAACCAUAUAUAUUCUGGUUUGUCAUGCUAAGAUGGUUUGAAUGAUAUACAGGGUUAGUCCCCAGGGGUCAUCCCGACCCCCUGCCAUUUGAGAAAGUUCUAAUAUCUUGUAAAUGGUUGAGAUCCCCACCCCUAAACCAUAUACAUUCUGGUUUGUCAUGAUAAAGCACAUCAAAUGAAAUACAGGGUUAGUCCCCAGGGGUCACCCCCACCCCCUGCCAUUUAAGAAAGUUCUAAUAUCUUGUAAGUGGUCAAGAUCCCCACCCCUAAACCAUAUAUAUUCUGGUUUGUCAUGCUAAGAUGGUUUGAAUGAUAUACAGGGUUAGUCCCCAGGGGUCAUCCCGACCCCCUGCCAUUUGAGAAAGUUCUAAUUUCUUGUAAAUGGUCGAGAUCCCCACCCCUAAACCAUAUAUAUUCUGGUUUGUCAUGAUAAAGCACAUCAAAUGUUAUACAGGGUUAGUCCCCAGGGGUCACCCCCACCCCCUGCCAUUUAAGAAAGUUCUAAUAUCUUGUUAUUGGUCAAGAUCCCCACCCCUAAACCAUAUAUAUUCUGGUUUGUCAUGCUAAGAUGGUUUGAAUGAUAUACAGGGUUUGUCCCCAGGGGUCAUCCCGACCCCCUGCCAUUUGAGAAAGUUUCUAAUAUCUUGUAAAUGGUCGAGAUCCCCACCCCUAAACCAUAUAUAUUCUGGUUUUUCAUGAUAAAGCACAUCAAAUGAAAUACAGGGUUAGUCCCCAGGGGUCACCCCCACCCCCUGCCAUUUAAGAAAGUUUUAAUAUCUUCUAAGUGGUCAAGAUCCCCACCCCUAAACCAUAUAUAUUCUGGUUUGUCAUGCUAAGAUGGUUUGAAUGAUAUACAGGGUUAGUCCCCAGGGGUCAUCCCGACCCCCUGCCAUUUGAGAAAGUUCUUAUAUCUUGUAAAUGGUUGAGAUCCCCACCCCUAAACCAUAUAUAUUCCUGUUCGUCAUGUAAUGAACAUUUGAAUGACGUAUAGGGCCAGUCCCCAGGGGUUCCUCCCCACCCCCAAUGUUCUAGUAUCUUGUAAAUGGUCGAGAUCCCCACCCCUAAACCAUAUAUAUUCUGGUUUGUCAUGCCAAGAUGAUUUGAAUGAUAUACAAGGUUAGUCCCCAGGCAUCACUAAUGCAUAUAACUUUACUGGACCAAACCAAUUUUCACUGGACGUUGCCCAAUGUCAGGCGACCCUGGGAAUUACGAAUUAUGGGAGCUUCGUUUGGGAGACUUCGUAACAGCAUCCUGUUACAAUCAUUUCUUGUUUCUUGAUCAAUUUCAAUGGGGUUUUAUUCUUCAAUUCUUGGGGUUCUUUAAUAUGCUGAAUCUAACCGUGUAUUAAGUUUUUGGAUUUUGGGCCCCGUUUUUAAAUUGGUCCACAUUAAGGUCCAAAGGGUCCAAAAUUAAACUUUGUUUGAUUUCAUCAAAAAUUGAAUUAUUGGGGUUCUUUGAUAUGCCGAAUCUAACCGUGUAUUUAGAUUCUUAAUUUUUGGUUCCGUUUUCAAAUUGGUCUACAUUAAGGUCCAAAGGGUCCAGAAUUAAACUUAGUUUGAUUUUAACAGAAAUUGAAUUCUUAGGGUUCUUUGAUAUGCUGAAUCUAAACAUGUAUUUAGAUUUUUGAUUAUGGGCCCAGUUUUCAAGUUGGUCUGAAUCGGGUCCAAAAUUAAACUUUGUUUGAUUUCAACAAAAAUUGAAUAUAUGGGGUUCUUUGAUAUGCUGAAUCUAACCAUGUAUUUAGAUUUUUGAUUUUUGGGCCCCUUUAUCAACUUUGUCCACAUUGAGGUCAAAAGGGUCCAAAAUUAAACUUUGUUUGAUUUCAUCAAAAAUUGAAUUCUCGGGGUUCUUUGAUAUGCUGAAUCUAACCAUGUAUUUAGAUUUUGGAUAUUGGACCAUAAUAGGUGAAUGUCCAAUUUAAAAUUUUUAAGUUCUUAGACCACAUUCAUUCUGUGUCAGAAACCUAUGCUGUGUCAAAUAUUUAAUCACAAUCCAAAUGCAAAUCUGUAUCAAGCUUGAAUGUUGUGUCCAUACUUGCCCCAACUGUUCAGGGUUCGACCUCUGCGGUCGUAUCAAGCUGCGCCCUGCGGAGCAUUUUAUUUAGAUUCGUUUUCAAAUUGGU